GACGAACGCUGGCGGCGUGCUUAACACAUGCAAGUCGAACGGUAAGGCCCUUCGGGGUACACGAGUGGCGAACGGGUGAGUAACACGUGGGUGAUCUGCCCUGCACUUCGGGAUAAGCCUGGGAGACUGGGUCUAAUACCGGAUAGGACUCCUGGCUUCAUGGUUGGGGGUGGAAAGCUUUUGCGGUGUGGGAUGGGCCCGCGGCCUAUCAGCUUGUUGGUGGGGUAAUGGCCUACCAAGGCGACGACGGGUAGCCGGCCGGAGAGGGUGGCCGGUCAGACGGGGACGGAGAUACGGCCCAGACUCCUACGGGAGGCAGCAGGGGGGAAUAUUGCACAAUGGGCGCAAGCCUGAUGCAGCGACGCCGCGUGAGGGAUGACGGCCUUCGGGUUGUAAACCUCUUUCAGCUAUGACGAAGCGCAAGUGACGGUAGUAGCAGAAGAAGGACCGGCCAACUACGUGCCAGCCGCCGCCGUAA
rnacentral:rRNA from 1 species